rnacentral:rRNA from 1 species
GCAAGUCGAACGAACUCUGGUAUUGAUUGGUGCUUGCAUCAUGAUUUACAUUUGAGUGAGUGGCGAACUGGUGAGUAACACGUGGGAAACCUGCCCAGAAGCGGGGGAUAACACCUGGAAACAGAUGCUAAUACCGCAUAACAACUUGGACCGCAUGGUCCGAGUUUGAAAGAUGGCUUCGGCUAUCACUUUUGGAUGGUCCCGCGGCGUAUUAGCUAGAUGGUGGGGUAACGGCUCACCAUGGCAAUGAUACGUAGCCGACCUGAGAGGGUAAUCGGCCACAUUGGGACUGAGACACGGCCCAAACUCCUACGGGAGGCAGCAGUAGGGAAUCUUCCACAAUGGACGAAAGUCUGAUGGAGCAACGCCGCGUGAGUGAAGAAGGGUUUCGGCUCGUAAAACUCUGUUGUUAAAGAAGAACAUAUCUGAGAGUAACUGUUCAGGUAUUGACGGUAUUUAACCAGAAAGCCACGGCUAACUACGUGCCAGCAGCCGCGGUAAUACGUAGGUGGCAAGCGUUGUCCGGAUUUAUUGGGCGUAAAGCGAGCGCAGGCGGUUUUUUAAGUCUGAUGUGAAAGCCUUCGGCUCAACCGAAGAAGUGCAUCGGAAACUGGGAAACUUGAGUGCAGAAGAGGACAGUGGAACUCCAUGUGUAGCGGUGAAAUGCGUAGAUAUAUGGAAGAACACCAGUGGCGAAGGCGGCUGUCUGGUCUGUAACUGACGCUGAGGCUCGAAAGUAUGGGUAGCAAACAGGAUUAGAUACCCUGGUAGUCCAUACCGUAAACGAUGAAUGCUAAGUGUUGGGAGGGUUUCCGCCCUUCAGUGCUGCAGCUAACGCAUUAAGCAUUCCGCCUGGGGAGUACGGCCGC